AUGAAAAACCACAAUAAGUACGUCAAAUUGCCCCAAGACCUCGAUCUGAGUUUCCACAGUGAUUUGGACCUGCUGCCGGAUACGGCGGCCGACAUCGACGUAGAACUAGACCCGGCUGCGGACACGGAUGUGGCCGCGCUCAGUGUGAACGUGCCCGUGUCUCUGGGCCUGGACGAGGACGACGACGACGAGGUCAUCAUCGCCCCCGGCGGCGGAGGACUUCGACUGGCGGCACACAGGCAGCACCAGCAGCGCAAGCAGCUGAAGAACCAGCUGGAGCAGAAGCAGAUCCUGCCCAAGAGCAAGAUCUGCGGACUAGGCAGCGACAGCAUCGUCGAGACGGGCCUAACCCUCACACCUGAAAUGCUGUUAUCCACCUCGGAAUCAUCGACCCACAGUGCCUCCGAGGUCGCCGGACGACUGCAGGUCGACGUGCGUACCGGCCUCAAAUGGACGGAGGCCAAGUAUCGUGCCAAGAUCAUCGGGCAUAACGAGCUGCUGCUCGUGGCGGAGGAUCCCACAUGGAAAAAGUACAUUGAGCAGUUUAGGAACCCGCUAAUUCUACUGCUUCUUGGUUCUGCUCUGGUGUCCGUAAUCAUGAAGCAGUUUGACGACGCCGUGAGCAUAACCAUUGCCAUCCUAAUCGUGGUCACGGUGGCCUUCAUUCAGGAGUACCGCUCCGAGAAGAGUCUGGAGGAGCUUAAGAAGCUAGUGCCCCCUGAAUGCCACUGCCUGCGGGAAGGUCGACUAGACACCUUCCUGGCACGCGAACUGGUGCCCGGGGACAUAGUGCACCUCAACGUGGGCGACCGGGUGCCGGCCGACGUGCGUCUUUUUGAAGCUGUGGACCUAUCUAUCGACGAGAGCAGUUUCACCGGCGAAACAGAGCCCGCGCGCAAGAUUACCGAUGUUUUGCUGAACAAUACGAACGUAAAGGACCACAGCAACAUGAAGAACAUUGCCUUCAUGGGCACUCUGGUGCGAUGUGGCAACGGCAAGGGCAUAGUUGUCAGCACUGGGGAGCGCAGUGAGUUCGGUGAAGUCUUCAAAAUGAUGCAGGCAGAGGAGGCUCCGAAGACGCCACUGCAGAAGUCGAUGGACAUUCUAGGCGCUCAGUUGAGCUUCUACUCCUUCCUGAUUAUCGGUGUCAUCAUGCUGCUGGGCUGGCUACAAGGUAAGCCGCUCUCGGAAAUGUUCAAUAUCAGCGUUUCACUGGCCGUUGCGGCCAUCCCCGAGGGCCUUCCUAUCGUGGUAACUGUGACUCUGGCGCUUGGCGUAAUGCGGAUGGCUAAACGAAAUUCCAUCGUUAAAAAGCUGCCUACUGUUGAGACCUUGGGCUGCGUAAACGUUAUCUGCUCUGACAAGACGGGAACUUUGACCAAGAACGAGAUGACGGCCACGAUCAUCAUCACUUCCGACGGCUACAUGGCGGACGUGACCGGUGCCGGUUACAAUGACCAGGGUGAAAUCCACAUACGGCAUUGCAACAACGUGGAGAUGGCUAAGACCAAUAUUACAAACCUUCUUGAAAUCGGGGCGGUCUGCAAUAACGCUUACAUACAAAAUGGCACCCUGCUAGGACAGCCCACCGAGGGAGCCCUUGUGGCGGUAGCCAUGAAGAACGGAAUGUACGCCACAGCUGAGAACUACGUUCGCAUCCAGGAGUAUCCCUUCAGCUCGGAGCAGAAGAUGAUGGCUGUGAAGUGCAUCCACAAGUACAACAACAACAAGGAAGAGAUUUUCUUCGCCAAGGGGGCUCUAGAGACCCUGUUGCCGCAGUGCACCAAGUAUCAGUUCGGUACCCAGACGGUACCACUUACCAAGCAGAACGAGGCCGAGUUCCUAGCCGAGGCGUACGAGAUCGGGCGCAAGGGCCUGCGCGUGUUGGCCCUGGCAAAGGGCCGGUCCAUGCAAGAUCUGAUCUACUGCGGCCUAGUCGGCAUCACUGACCCACCGAGGCCCCUUGUUCGAGAGUCCAUUGAAAUGUUGAUGCAGAGCGGAGUGCGUGUCAAAAUGGUGACUGGAGAUGCCCAGGAAACGGCCUUGGCCAUUGCGAAUCUCAUCGGUAUCGAUACAAUCCACCACCAGACGCUUUCCGGUCAGGAAAUGGAUCAAAUGAACGAGCACCAACUGGACAAGGUAGCCAACAACGUGAGCGUCUUCUACCGCGUAUCGCCACGCCACAAACUGGAGAUAGUCAAGUCCUUGCAGCGCAGUGGCAACAUAGUCGGCAUGACUGGCGACGGGGUGAACGACGGAGUAGCUCUGAAGAAGGCAGACAUCGGCAUUGCCAUGGGUAAGAACGGGACGGAUGUGUGUAAGGAGGCGGCUGAUAUGAUCCUGGUCAAUGAUGAUUUCCACACCAUAAUCGCCGCCAUCGAGGAGGGCAAGGGCAUAUUCUACAACAUUCGAAAUUUCGUGCGCUUUCAGCUUAGCACAUCAAUAGCUGCCCUGGCCCUGAUUGCCCUGGCCACUCUGAUGGACAUUGCUAACCCGCUGAAUGCCAUGCAGAUUUUGUGGAUCAACAUCAUAAUGGACGGUCCGCCAGCACAGUCUCUGGGUGUGGAGCCUGUCGACCACGAUGUGCUCAAACAGAAACCACGGAACGUGAAACAGCCGAUGAUCACAAAGUCUGUGGUGGUGAACGUUCUGCUUAGUGCCAGCAUAAUUGUACUGGGCACGCUGUGGGUGUUCCAGCGCGAAAUGGCCGACGGGACGCUGGGAAAGACCAAGCGGGACACGACGAUGACCUUUACUUGUUUCGUGUUUUUCGACAUGUUUAACGCCCUGUCUUGCCGCUCGCAGACAAAGAGUGUCUUUACCAUCGGACUCACUACCAAUCGGAUGUUCUUGCUGGCCGUCGCUUUUUCGAUCAUUGGUCAAAUGCUCGUUGUCUACUUUCCGCCGCUGCAAAUGGUUUUCCAGACGGAAGCUCUUACGCCGUAUGACAUAUUCUUCCUGGUCUCCCUAACCUCAUCUGUGCUGGUUGUUUCAGAGAUAAAGAAAUGGUUCGAGCGUACCAUGGAGCGCAAGAUGUACAGCACCCGCUCCGAGCUGGAUUUUGUAUGACAAAACGCAAGCGCUAGAGAAGAUUUGCACCCCAAAGCCGAGUAAAUUAAAUAACUAACAAAAAAUCCAUAAAAAAAAGUAAAACUAUGCCAAAACAAGUGAGGAGCGCGGCGAUGGAUCAAGGAUGUGUGUGUUUAACUUUACAUUUGACUUGACCAAUUAAGAAUGAUUUAAUGGUUACUGUGGGUUUUCAACCAGAGUGCACAGAAGGGAUUUUCAUAGAUUUGAAAUCUUACUCGUUCUUCCCCACAGCGAAGCAACCGGAUUAUAAAUCAAGUGACCACUUACUAUAAUCCGAGUAUAUUCACCGGGAAAGUGCAAUACCACUAGGUCACAGUCAACAUACAUAAGAUUAAAACGGAAGCGAGUCAAAAAGGCAUGAAAUGGACAAGCUAAGCGAGGCGUAGUUAAAGUAAAACAUGGUUUUUUUGGUAUUAUUGAUGAAUAAUUUAUUCGGUAUUUGAAAGCAAGCAUUCAAUUUGUGUAAAAUUGAGGCAAAUCAAAACUCUAGCGUGCUAUCAAAAUAAAACAAUUUUUGACGAAGACAUCUCCAAAACAACUUUAAAUGGAGAGUUCAGAUCAACAAAAGAUUUUUGUACGUAAUCAAAAAUACUAUAAUUUCCGCAUACUUUGUGGGCGUUGAUUUGAUGCUUUGGUAAUUAAGUUCACGAUUAAUGGGUUUACCAAAACGGAAUAACCAAGCAAAUGCGAAAUUUUACGAAGCAAUCAGCACCACGUUUACUCGAAUGUAAAGCAAUUUUCGCUCAUAUACUUAAAUAAAAAAUAAAUUCAUAGGAAAACACGGUUCUGUGUACUAUUCUGUUGCUUGUAGGUUGAAUUGAACUCCGAUGCAAUAGUUUACUUAAUGCCAACAGAAAUUUACAAGUAUAGCUUAUCCAGAUCGUAAUCAAAAGUAUACAUCUCAAUAAUAAAUUAAUACAUUUGGAAAAAAUAAACAAAUUCAGUAGAUUACCAACACUUGUCUACCCCUUAUAAAUUAACGUAAAUAUCAUUGACAUAAAAUUCAUAUCAUACCAACUCAGAGUUCACUGUUGCACUGGAAGCAUAUCACAAUUGGUCCAUGUUUUUAUACCCGUUAUUUGUAGAGCAAAAGGCAAUUCUUUAUUCGUAUUAAAGAAUAUAUAUUCUUGAUCGAAAUCACUGGCCCGGCCCGUCUGUGUGUCCGUCCGUAUGUCUGUCCGUAUAAACGUUGAAAUCUUGGCAGAUAUAAAAGCUAGAGACACAAACGCGACCCAUAACUGCAACGGCCACAUUUUAUAGAAAUGAUUUUAUAUUUUAAAGUUAUAAGUCUUGUCAAUUCCUGAUAUGCCCACAUUUUUUUUAAAUUUUGAUAUUUUUUGUAUCAAAUUCUAUCGAUAAUUAAGAACAACUUUGAAAUACUUCCCUGGCACUCCCACUAUUUGAGUAACGGGUAUCUAAUAGUCGAGAAAUUCGACUUUAGCGUUCUCUCUUGUUUUUAUUUGAAUGAGCUUGUAUGUCAACAUUUUUCACGAAUUUAAAACUUGGUUUUAGCAAUUUAUGUGCACACUGCAGAUCGCAUUCAAAGGACCAAUCGUUAAAUAAUUCAUUUGAUCACACACAUUAAGAUCAGCUUACGCUCAACAAAAACGCACUCAUAUAUCACGGCAAAAAAAAAAUGAAAAAACUUAAAAACACAAAAAAAAAAAGAAAAACCAGGAAAAAUAAUUGAUGAGAAUGCUCGUUCAACAGGGCAAACAAUUGAAGGUUCAUAAUAAUAUCAGCGCAUAAAAGCAUACUAAAAGUACAUCAGCAGACAACCAGAGACACACAUUCCCACACACGUUCAGUCACAUCUCAUCCACAAUGGUAACAAUAAUUAGAAAAAUAAGCGUAUUAAUAUAGAGUAAAAAGUAUGAAUGUCUGGAGGAUUAAAUAAAGUGCACCAAAUAAAAUAAAUAUGUUAGUCAAAGCAGGUAUACAUUAUGGAAUUUAAACUAAACUCUACUCAAUGUUAUGUGUAAGCAAAGUCCGAAAUUCGACUUAUAAUGAAUGAUGGUACCAAACGAAUUCUUAACCACUGAAAUAUUCAUUGAUCGUCUAUUAAUAUAUAUGUAAGUUUAAAUGUCUAACUGGACCGCCUAAUUUAAGAGCUCCGAAAAAUGUGUUGCCUAAAUUCACAAUUUACCAAAAUAGUUGAAAUAGUUUGGUGCAAAGAAAUGUACAAUUGAUGACAACCGUACGAGUUCUUAAAAUCCAUUUCUAAAAAACGCUUAACCUAUAAAAAUUAACUAUAACUAUCUGUGCUAUUAAAUUUAAGCUAUAAAAUAUAGACAAAUACCAAGAGUAAUGCAAACAUACAUUCAAACAUAUUUCGAGAAUAAUAAGAACCCUGAGAAAUGGAAUAAAGUAAAUUGAACCAUCAUCGUUUGUUUUACCAAAGCUAUCCCCUAAAAGUGUAUAUCAUUUUAUAAAUUUAACAAUAUUGGGGCAAGAUCUUAGGCAUAAAAUGAAUUUUGCAAUGGCAACCAUAUAUUUAAUAUUAAUCUGCGGAAUAUCGUGAAACAAGUAUUUACCGAAUAUAAUAAACUUUAUGUAGUACAGUA